rnacentral:lncRNA from 1 species
GGCGGAUUUGGGCUUCUCUUUUGUGGGAAGAAGGGAAGCCAAAGGGAAGGAGGGACCGUGGUGGCAUCAGAUGGUUGCUUCACUUGAAUCCAGAGCUCCUCUAGGUGUUUGGAGAGUCUUCAAGUGUCCAGAUGUGGGCAGGCUACAUCUCUGCCUCUCUCUGGGGGCAACCAAGACUUGGAGCUAUUAGUAAUGUAGCUGCCCUUAACCCCAGUGGCGAGAGUGAGAGAAGAGCGUUCCCUGCACGGCCAAGAUACUCUUUUCUGCUGCAGAGGAAGUAUAGAGGGGAGAUAGAAGAACCCUUAUCAAGGAGGCUGAGCUGUGAGACUUUUUAGCCCAAAUCCAGGAGCUUCUGGGCUGCUGCGCUCCUCAAAGCUCCGGGUCCUUAUGCCAGAAAAAAGACGCCAAGAGGAGAGAUUUUAGGGGAGCACCCUGACAGAGAGGAGAGGCAGAGCGAGUUGCUAAGUAAAGCCCAUGCAUGCAUUUUCUCACCAGUAUGCCAGAAUAACAGCAAGGACAGCAGAGGGAUGUUCCCUGUGAGCUCAGACAACAUAGAAAAUGUGUUUUGGUUCGGUUCCCACCAUGCCAGCACGGGAAACAAUUCCUUACUGCAGAGUGUUCAAGUCCAUUUUCUACAGGGAAACUGUUCAUGACCCAAACUCCCAGCACGAGCCCUCGUUCCUCCACAGUAGGAAUGAACUUCAGAGUUUCUGGCCUCCGCCUCAGCUUGUGGACCUGGAGCCCUCUGGGCGGUUACAUGGCUCUGUUGAUGGAGACCAGGUAGAGACCCGGAGCAGACACGCUGUCCAUGCCAGGAGAGCUUCUUGGCCGAGUUUGAGAAGAAGUCUCAGGAGGAAAAGGCAGGGGAAGGGGUAGGUGUUUGCCCCCGGCCAGUGGUGGAGUUGAAAGCAGAUGGCAUCAAGGAGGGGGAGUUGUGUGGGGCGAAUCCAACUCCAAGCUCUGGCCGUGUCUUUGGGAUGAGGCUUUAAAAAGGACAGAGCGGUUCACUUGCUGGAGAUGAGAAGGAGGGCCAGGCGUCGUGAAGGAUGUCGAGAGCAGAACUGCCUGGUACCAUCUGCAGUGAAGUAGUGGUUAAGGUUAAAGCAGAGAGGAGAUGACAGGGAGGGAACAGAUGGCCGAGGCAGCAAAAUAGCUGGCGAAACGGGAACGGAGCCUCCAGGGACGGCAGAAGCCAGGACCUCCACGCAGAGUGCCGGAAGCAGCCCUUUCCUCGGGGUGCAGUGGCCGGACCUCCCUGGGCAGAAAUGAGACAGAGAGAGGAGUUGGGAAGGGACCCUAGCGUGAGGGCCCCCCCCCAAGGCCUGGAGAAGACUGAGGGAACCAUCAGCUCCAAGGCUAGGGCUGCAGGAGCAGAGGGGCCUCCAGGGAUGUCGAGGAACUGGAGAGAGGAGCCCGCUGACUUGGUGUCCAUCACUAGAAUGAGUCCCAGUCACCUCGGGCUUCACAGAGCAUACCCAGCCAAGCCUGCUGGGAGGAGAUAUGGAUGCUAGCUGGAAACAGGCAGCAGGCAAUAACCUGCUCUUCCCCACCUGCCC